UAACUCUUAAGAGUAUUUAUGGUCUCCAAGGGUAACCACGAGGAUAUCUUUGAUCCCAAAAUGUAAUGGAAGAUGUAAGUGGUCUAUUUUGCAUAGUUCAGGGGCAAUUUAACCCUUUUCCCUUAUUUUUUUUACUAUUCAAAAAAUGUAUACUGAACCCAAGAAAGGUUGCCUACGUAUCUCAUUAAAAUGAGAAUCAGGUACGCGUAGUUCAUUCAAAUAUGACAUAAAACAUUUAAAAAUUUAGACAAACUCGGAGCGAAUCCUUGUGUCCUCUUAACUGUCGACCUUUGUAGUUUCUGUUGAAUGUGGUCUAUUAUUUUUUUUAUAUUAACCACAUGUUGUUGUAGUCUUUUUGAAAUGUCUCUUGGAACUGUGUCUUCUACUAAUUAUUUACGAAAAUUACGCAUUGUUAUUACCAUCCCCAACUAUUAUCUGGGACGAUUUUCCUACAAAAAUAUAAGAAAUUGUGAAAGUUAGGCCAUAAUAAUAAUAAAAAAUAAAUAAAAUAAAGAAAUGUAACUUCAUAGUCAGGACUCCCCUAAUUUGUCUCUUUGACUUGAGAUUAAUGUCUUAUUAAAUACGAAGACUCAAUUUCGUGAAUCCUUUUGUCUUACGCAACUUCAGACAAACAAUUACUUCUAGAUUCUUACAUAUAUCAAAAACUCAAAAGGUAAAAGUGUUAAUUUUUGUUCAUAAUGAAUAAUGCAAAACAUCAUACAAAGAAUCAAUAAAAAAAUAUUAUUUUGAUUGAAGACAAACUCAAUUAUAUACAUCACAUAAUAUACAAGCAAUUAUUGCACUAUACAAAUGUGACCCUUUUAUGCUAAGGGCAGACCUAUCAAUUUAAAUGAUGUAUUACGAUAUUUGACAACUAACAAUUGUCCCCCAAAAAACUUAGUACAAUUCUAUGAAUAAUUCAAAUAGAAUUACAAAAUAAGGGGAAAAAAUACAAAUAAUCAGUCCCACACAUGUGAACAAUCAUAAACUAGGCCUUUUGUGGAAAAUAUUUCCUCUUUAACUUAUUAUUAUCUCUAAUGCUAACACCUUUGGAUAAAAUGAUAACUUGAUCCCUCUUCGACUCGAUUAAACUAUUAAGUUCCCUACCCCGAGUGACAAUGAUUUGCCAAAUAUCGUAUACAUCCUUCAAAUUUAAACACAUACGUAUGAUUUGUCUUUUAUUGAUCAAUAGCUCAAAUAGACACAAGGUGGACCUCCAAUGGGCCAACACGCCUUGGGUGUUGGGUCAACUAAAUUCAAAAUGCUCUAAAUUCGGGAUUUGGUUUAAUUCUACCCUAGUUAACUUGGAGUGACUUUUGAAAGGAAACCCAAGUAAACAACGAAAGCUGAAAUUUACGACAACCAUUGGACGCAUAAUGAACCAAUAAAUUGUCGAUCAUUCCGAAAAAGAUUGAGUAUAAAAAAGUUCAAUCGCGAUUCCGUAAAACCAUCCUUUAAUAUAUUAUACAUACGAUAGAAAUAUGCCAUGAAGUGCAAUGAACGUAUACAUACAAUAAAAUGAAUAAUAAAUGAACAACAAGUAUAAUAUACAAAUAAUCAACAAAAUAUACAAAAUAUAAGGUAUAACACAAUAAAUUAAAAUACUCCUCAAUUUGAAAAUAAUGAAUUAAUAUUGGUUAGAACCUCCAUAUCCCAGUGGAGUCGCCAUUCUGUUUACAUCCCUACUUUAUUCAAAUAUGGAGAAAUAUUGUGGUGACUCAAAAAAUAAUAAAUUAAUUAAAUUUUAAAAGAAUUUAAAGCAUAAACGAAUUUUAAAAAGUGUCACCACCUAAUUUUAGGAAAAAAAACAAGGAAAUCAAUUAAAGUGACCUACGAAAUCGGAAAAUUCUAGGUAAUGGGUUCAACUUAUUUCGAAGAGAAGAUGUUAGGCAUCUUUCGCAAUCCAAAAUAUAGGUCCCGACUAAAUUCUUUUUUUUUCCAAAUUGAUGAGGAAAUUAAACAAAUAUAAUAAACGCACAAUAUGCACAAAUAAUAAAAUAAAAUAAUAAUAAAAAAUAUCCUAAUUUUUUCUAACGUCAAUAAUAUACACAAUAAUAAAUAUAAAAAAUAUGAUUCAAAUUCCAUUGAAAUAGCUUCAAUUGAAAGCAACACCGGCGUACCAGUAAACACAUUUAGUAAAAGUGUUAGCAAUAAAUAAAUAUAAAUAAAUAAAAAUAAAAUACGUCUUAUUAACAUGGAAAGUCUUGAUGAUUGACGGUAAUUUCUUCAUUCGGCAGAUUUUAACAUAUUGUAUUUCCUAAACGCAAGAUCAUAUCAAACAAAAUGCAUAUUAAUUUUAAACGAUGUGAAAUAACAAUGAAACAACAAAGAAAUAUUAAAGAGAUAGUUUGCUGGAAAAACUUUACAAAAUAUGUAGACUUAAUCUAAACCAUUUAAGAAUAGUAAUUUAUUAAUAAAAUUGAAUUCAUAAACAAUAAAUGAAAUAAACGAAGAAUUUAUAGUCAUCAUAGAACCCAAAACAACUAAAUAAACAAACAAAAAAAUAAAUGACAUUUGAUGGAGUUCACUGAAUGUGACAUUCUUUCGGCCAGAUCUAAAAUAAUACUAAUGACAAUAAGCCAUUCUACAACAAAUAAUAAGAAAUCAAAAAUAAUCAUAGUCUAAAAUGCAGCCCAACAAUACAAAAGAAAGAAGAAAAUAAUUUAUCAAGCUUUAAACUAUUUAACAGUAAAUUUAUUAAAAAGAAAAAUGGAAAAGAGAGUACAGUACACUGUUUAUGGUGUCAUGGUGGUUUGGAGCUUUCUGUUCGUUGGGUUUGCUGGAAAUGUGAACCCGAAUAGAUCUGGUCGUCCUCACAGUGGUCAUCACUUGUUAUUUCUCCGUCGGAAGAAGGUGGGGAAUGGGGGUGUUGGGCAAGAUCUGGGAGGUGUUUGGGUGAUUUUGUUGGUUGUUUCAGCUACUUGUUUGAUGAUUGUUUCAGCUGGUGUUUUGUCGCAGCCACAAGGAAAGAGGAAAAACAAUAGCUUGAGUGUUCUGGGUGGUUUGAUUAGCUGUUUGGGGUUGGGUAUUUCGCCGGAAACGGCGGAAAUGAAAGUGGUUGUUGUGGGUUGAGCGAUGGUUGUGUGAGUUAGUUUCUGCUCAUCUUUGGCUGGUGGUUUUGGUGUUCAAAGAGAGGAGAAGAUGAAACAAAAGGGUUGAUGGUUUAUCUUUGGCGGUGACAGACUGAUCGAAAAAAGAAAAGAGAUGACAAUGGGGUUUUGGCAGUGGUUGAUGUUCAUUGGUAAGAAGCAAUGAGGUUGUGAGUUGUUUGCAAAGAAGUGAAAGGGUUUUGGUUGGUGGUAGUUUUCCAGAUUCACGCAUACUCAUCGGAAAAAAAAGAAACUUUUUUAUUCUUAAAAUAUGAAAAUUCACCCUCAAAACCUAAUAUUUGCCCCCCACCAUUUUUGACGUAAUAGAGCUCUAAAUAGAGUAUUGUUAUACAAUGGGCCUAAAUCAUGAACUCAACAUUUAGACCGAAAUAUUAUGGAAUAAUUACUAGAAUAUACACCUUUAGUUUAUAUAUUCACCAUAUUUCCCUACUAUUUUAAAAAGAUACAAAAAUCCCUAUUUCUCCCCAAAUCAAAAACUACCGAUACAUUAUUUUUUAGAAUUCCAAACCAUUACAUUUCACCCCUAAAUUUACUCCUCUAUUUACU
rnacentral:lncRNA from 1 species